ensembl:lncRNA
UUCCCUGAAAGUUUUGUAGAGGAUCCCAGUUCAUCUUUGAGCAUAUACUGUUCACAUAACGUUUACUGAACCACCAAGCCCAGCAGUGAUCAAAGGUAGAGACUGCAAUGUCAAACACUACUUACUCACGUCUAAAUACAUACAAUAAAGGGCUGCAAUAAAGACCAAGGUUAUCAACACAAUGCUACUUGGAAGUGGUUUGAUUUUGUCAAUUGCUGCAUUUUACAUACAGUAUCUUGCCUGAAGGUGCUUUUCAUUUCUAAAAGAUGUCUAAGUCCCCACAGCUUUCCUCAUUCCUUUUGGCAAUAUCAAGAUACAAUUACAUGGAAACCGUUAUGCCAAACUACUUUUCCCAUUGCUAGAUUUCUCGAAGCUUUGAGGCCCCUUUAAUUUCCUACAAAGUUGCUGCUGAGGUUCAUCUUCCUGGAACCAUCCUUAACCAUGUAUGGUCACUGUGGAAUUCCUUGGACCUGUUGUUUUUUUUUCCUAUGUGCAGGUACCCAAAAUACUAAGUGCUUCAUCUCUAUGUGGUGGUAUGAAUACUUUGUAUUUUGCUAUGGCCAUGAGAAAUUUUUCUAGAGACCCACUUUGUACGUGGUCCUAACACUUGGGGGAAAAUAGACUAAUGUGUCUGGCCAGUCAACUACAGGUUUGUCAGUCUCCCCAGCCUCUCUUGAACUGCAUAUGCGUCCAAAUCUGAAUUCUUUACACUAAGAGAGGAAAACAAGACACUUUAGGAAAAAGAUGACAGUUCAUUAUAAGACAACAAAAAUAUUAGCUUUUGAGUGACAUUUAAAUACGGGCCUGGGAACAACUUAUUCAUGUAGCUAUUUACGGAAAAUGAUCAUGCAUGAGGCCCAACUACCUGAGUUAGAUCAGAUGCUAUUACUGUUUACCCUAAAUCCAUACUGUGUAAUGUUUGACUAGUUUUAACCCAGAUUAUUUAUCAAUAACCUCCCCUCCUGACCCUUGUUAUGCUGUGCUUUCUUCCUUUAUUCCAAGUAUUACUCCCCAUUUUUUUUUUUACCUUCAAUAACCUUUGAAAUUACAUUAGGACUAAACAUUCCAGGAUUUAAUUAAUAAUCAGGUUGAUUACCUUGAUGCCUGACAUUUUUCUUCCACCAACAUUAAUUUUGACAAUACUUAAUACAAAGCCAAGGUUUCCCACCUCUCCUCAUUCUUGUGAUUGCCAAACAGUUCUCUCCAUAAAAACCUUACCGAGGAUUUCCCCACAAGAGUCAGUAUAAACUUUCACUCAGCUUUAAUUACAAUUAUGCAUUUUAUAUUCAAACGGGGCCAAAGGCAAAACAUCCAUUCAGAAAAAUUUGAUUACAAGGCUGGUUAACUGAAAAAGAAUUUUGUAUCAGAAAUAGGUUUUGACUCUUGGAGGGUGUUACAUGAAUAAUUAGAAAUGCCUCGAAUCUUAUGUUGGUCCAGAAUCUAUUUAAAAAAUUAAAACCCAAUAUAAUCCGUCUUGCUUUGUAUGUUUUCUUUCCAUGUCUGUAAAACGAAGCGCUUUUCCUGAUCACCAGUUUUUCAUAGGUCAAGUAAAUCUCAUGGCACUAGCCCUAGAAAAAGGAAAACAUUUGAGAUUUACAAGACUAUCAACAUCAGAAGAGCUUACGUAAAUACUAUUGUCCUCAUAAUGGUCUAUCUCAGAAGCCAGAUCCGUAUAAGUUUUUUCAACAGAAAUUCAGGUUCGGGAUAGGAUCAUCAUCGAUAAGACCAAGGACACAAUACUGACUGAUUAAUAUCGCCACUUACAGAAACGGUUACACUUGAGGAACUUCCCAGCAAACUGGCCUCUUUCAUUGCGCUGACAGCGACCCCUCACUGUUGGCAGAGAAAAAAGAAAACACACUAUUGUGGAGUAGUAGGGCCACCCCACCAAGACUUAUAACCUAACAGAACCCUCUAAAAGUUAUAAAAUCCAGGCAACAAAAAUUACUUCAUAUCUGCACAUUGGUCUUAUCUCAGAAGCCGAAUCCGCACAUGCUUUUCUUCAGGUAAUCAGCUUCGGGAUAGGUUUCAUCAUGAAUUAGACCAUAAUCCAUUAAGCUAUGUUACUGUGACAUUCACCUUAAACCAAAGCAAUGCUAAAAGACAAGUACUAUAUUAGAGAAAUACUACAGUAGAUCUUGAAAGCCACACAACUUACUUCAUAAUAAAGCUGCUAGUCAAUGAGGUCCACAGCUUCAUUAGUAUUCAUCAAGCCCCAGGAUGCUGUUCAAGGGCAAAAAAAGUUUUCAUUUAAUCUACAUAUGGACCACACAUAUGCUGAAACAAAGUACUAGUCCAACACAUACCUGGUAAGAUUGUCAGGUUUUAGCUAAGUAAUUUUCCAGCAAAUGUUCUCUCCUAUGUUUUGAAAUUUUUCUUUGCAUCUAAUAAAAAAAAGCAAAUUUCAAAUGAUGUACCACCUUCUAUUCCUAUAAAUCAACAGGUUUACUUUCGAGUUUAAAAACUAAGCUCUCAACAAUACCCACCUUAGCAUCUCCAGGUAACAGUUCCGUUACACUGAAAGCCAUCGUUCCUGCGGUGGAUCAACCUAUUUAAAAUUAAGCAUUCUAAGAGAACGCCACAGUGCAAGAUUUUCAGUACUAAACCCUCCCUUUCACUAAUCCGAUCAGCGCAUGGCGCCAUCUGGGCACGCUACAACUCAGCCUCAUUCACAGUCGGGAGCUACCCACGGAAAUAAACAUUCGAUCCGGCGACGGGAGAAAGACUCGGUUCAGUAAUAAAAGCCUCUUGCUGUUAAUGUAAAAGUAACUUCCCGCCCCAAAUCCUGGAAAUGUAGUUGUUUUCCCGCCGCCGCCGCUCAGGCUCAGCCGGUCGGCUGCGCGGGCUCGGUACCCAGGCCGCGCACAGCUUCCGCGCCAUCAGCAGCAGCCUCGGCUCGAAGGCUGCCCCCAUCCGGACUCAGGGCACGUGGCGGUCGGGCUGCGUGUUUCCGACGUGCAGGCUUUCAACACACAGCAACGUUAACCUCAAAUCUCUAAAACCGUUUCAAAGCCUGCAGCCCCCAACCCAAA